rnacentral:rRNA from 1 species
GAUGAACGCUGGCGGCGUGCCUAAUACAUGCAAGUCGAGCGAAUGGAUUAAGAGCUUGCUCUUAUGAAGUUAGCGGCGGACGGGUGAGUAACACGUGGGUAACCUGCCCAUAAGACUGGGAUAACUCCGGGAAACCGGGGCUAAUACCGGAUAACAUUUUGAACCGCAUGGUUCGAAAUUGAAAGGCGGCUUCGGCUGUCACUUAUGGAUGGACCCGCGUCGCAUUAGCUAGUUGGUGAGGUAACGGCUCACCAAGGCAACGAUGCGUAGCCGACCGGAGAGGGUGAGCGGGCACACUGGGACUGAGAAACGGCACAGACUCCUACGGGAGGCAGCAGUAGGGAAUCUUCCGCAAUGGACGAAAGUCUGACGGAGCAACGCCGCGUGAGUGAUGAAGGCUUUCGGGUCGUAAAACUCUGUUGUUAGGGAAGAACAAGUGCUAGUUGAAUAAGCUGGCACCUUGACGGUACCUAACCAGAAAGCCACGGCUAACUACGUGCCAGCCGCCGCCGUAA